CUCUUCACUGCCAGGCUUCAUUAUACAAGCUGCUCCGGAAAAGAUGGAUUUAUUCUAUAUUUUAUUUAUUUUAGCCUGUCUGCAUAUCAACAGUGUAAGGAGUGCUAUUGGUUCCUCAGAGAUAAACUGUGCAACUGGGACUGAUGCCAGCGUAGGGAGCAUCCAGGAGGGAUAUGAAGGAGAUGUAGAGAUUAUCACUAAUAUCGGACCUGAUGAUCGUCUGGUGUUGG